AUAAUAAAAUCCUAAUUCUAAUAGAAUACUAACAAUGCUCUAAUUAGACCAUAAUAAUACUAAGAAAGCUUAAUCAAAUUCAAAAAAAACCUCAAAGAAAUUUCAAACAAAUAAUAAGAAUUCUUAAAUAAAUAUUAAAAGGAUCACAAAUAUCACUCAAAUACAUCUCCAUUCAAACUUAAUUUAAUUCUAGUUAAAAUCCUAUUGAACUUCAUUCAAAUUUUAGGCCAAAACUAAUUAAAUCUUAAAUCCUAAUAAAUUACUAAACCCUAAAUCAAAUCCUAAAUAAACCUUAAACCAAAUCCCAACUAAAACUUAAACCAAAUCCUAACCAAAUCCUAAAUCCUAAAUCAAACCCUAACCAAAUCCUAAUCCAAAUCCUAAAUCUUAAACCAAAUCCUAAUACAAAUCCUAAACCAAAUCUUAAUCCAAACCCUAACUAAAUCCUAAACCUUAAAUCAAACCCUAAAUCUUAAAUAAAACCCUGACCAAAUCCUAAACCAAAUCCUAAUAUAAACCUUAAAUCUUAAAAAACACCCUAAACAAAUCCUA
rnacentral:lncRNA from 1 species